GAUCCUGAGUACGACGGAGCACGUGAAAUUCCGUCGGAAUCUGGGAGGACCAUCUCCUAAGGCUAAAUACUCUCUAGUGACCGAUAGUGAACCAGUACCGUGAGGGAAAGGUGAAAAGCACCCCGGAAGGGGAGUGAAAUAGAACCUGAAACCGUGUGCUUACAAGUAGUCAGAGCCCGUUAAUGGGUGAUGGCGUGCCUUUUGUAGAAUGAACCGGCGAGUUACGAUUUGAUGCAAGGUUAAGCAGUAAAUGUGGAGCCGUAGCGAAAGCGAGUCUGAAUAGGGCGUUUAGUAUUUGGUCGUAGACCCGAAACCAGGUGAUCUACCCUUGGUCAGGUUGAAGUUCAGGUAACACUGAAUGGAGGACCGAACCGACUUACGUUGAAAAGUGAGCGGAUGAACUGAGGGUAGCGGAGAAAUUCCAAUCGAACCUGGAGAUAGCUGGUUCUCUCCGAAAUAGCUUUAGGGCUAGCCUCAAGUGAUGAUUAUUGGAGGUAGAGCACUGUUUGGACGAGGGGCCCCUCUCGGGUUACCGAAUUCAGACAAACUCCGAAUGCCAAUUAAUUUAACUUGGGAGUCAGAACAUGGGUGAUAAGGUCCGUGUUCGAAAGGGAAACAGCCCAGACCACCAGCUAAGGUCCCAAAAUAUAUGUUAAGUGGAAAAGGAUGUGGCGUUGCCCAGACAACUAGGAUGUUGGCUUAGAAGCAGCCAUCAUUUAAAGAGUGCGUAAUAGCUCACUAGUCGAGUGACACUGCGCCGAAAAUGUACCGGGGCUAAACAUAUUACCGAAGCUGUGGAUUGUCCUUUGGACAAUGGUAGGAGAGCGUUCUAAGGGCGUUGAAGCAUGAUCGUAAGGACAUGUGGAGCGCUUAGAAGUGAGAAUGCCGGUGUGAGUAGCGAAAGACGGGUGAGAAUCCCGUCCACCGAUUGACUAAGGUUUCCAGAGGAAGGCUCGUCCGCUCUGGGUUAGUCGGGUCCUAAGCUGAGGCCGACAGGCGUAGGCGAUGGAUAACAGGUUGAUAUUCCUGUACCACCUAUAAUCGUUUUAAUCGAUGGGGGGACGCAGUAGGAUAGGCGAAGCGUGCGAUUGGAUUGCACGUCUAAGCAGUAAGGCUGAGUAUUAGGCAAAUC
rnacentral:rRNA from 1 species